GGACGGCCCGUGAAGGCUUACACAUUUAACGGUACGAGAUUGGGCAGCUAGUUUGAGGACCGCAUCCCGCGCGGGACGGUCCAGCCGUAUACAGGGACAGGACAGGAUGUGAGAGCCCAAUUGCCAUCCCUAAUAAACCCUUGACGACGUUUUUCUGCCGGAGAGUUUAAAGUUCGCCGCAAGACGGAGAGAGAGAGACUUUUCACGAGGACGGUGAAGGAAUGGCUGAUUGCAGCAGCGGAGAGGAAGAUCCCAAGUGGAAAGCGGCCAUCAAUUCGAUAGCCACCACCACCGUUUACGGCGCUUCCGUCACGAAACCUGCAGCUACUUAACUAUAUGAAGAUGGAGAUUUUCGAAUUAAACCUAAAAAGCUAACGCAUGCCCAGAUCAAGGUGAAGAAUGAAAUGGUGGAGAACACGUUAGACUUUGUCAAAGAUCCUGUCAAUAUUCCCGAGGUUGAAGAAACCGAGAAAGAGUGUGGAGUUCGAUUAUUUAAGUGGUGUUCAACUGGCAUAGUCUUUGAUCAUGUAGAUGAGCUUGAAGGACCCCAAAAAGAAGCCUAAUUUACGCCCUGGCAGAGGAAUUAAUAGGAGCUCUAAAGAGUUUAAGAAAGGAAUAAAAUCGAUAGCUGUUGACGGCUCAGAUGUUUUAUCUGCUGCUAUGGAAGCAGCUAAGAGAGCCUCAUCCAGACUAGAGGUAACUAAAGAAGCGGCUGCAAAAAUUUUAAAGCCAAGAAAGAAGAAGAAAGAGUAGCGGUACGAGGCUAAAAAUGGCUACCUUCCGUUGCAUUGGUUUUGCAGCUAAACAAAACUUCAACACAGAGAUCUGCAAAUUCGUGAAAAGAUCCAUCCAUCCACUACAUUGGGAAUUUCAUCACUUGAAAAGAAGAAACAUAGAAUCACUUUGGCUACAAGCUAUUAAUGCAAGAGAUAGAGAGACAUCAUUUGUUCUUGACGUGAUGAGAGUGAAGUUCUUCAGAGAUGUUGUCAUCAUCUUUG